UGGGGAAUCUUGCGCAAUGGGCGAAAGCCUGACGCAGCGACGCCGCGUGAGGGAUGACGGCUUUCGGGUUGUAAACCUCUUUUAUCCACCACGAAGGCUCCGUAUUCGCGGGGUUGACGGUAGUGGUUGAAUAAGCGCCGGCUAACUACGUGCCAGCAGCCGCGGUAAGACGUAGGGCGCGAGCGUUGUCCGGAUUUAUUGGGCGUAAAGGGCUCGUAGGCGGUUGAUUGCGUCCGCCGUGAAAGGCCUCGGCUUAACCGGGGUUUUGCGGUGGAUACGGGUCGACUUGAGGCAAUUAGGGGAGAUCGGAAUUCUACGUGUAGCGGUGAAAUGCGCAGAUAUGUGGAGGAACACCGGUGGCGAAGGCGGAUCUCUGGGAUUGUUCUGACGCUGAGGAGCGAAAGCGUGGGGAGCGAACAGGAUUAGAUACCC
rnacentral:rRNA from 1 species